rnacentral:rRNA from 1 species
UAGGGAAUAUUGCACAAUGGGCGAAAGCCUGAUGCAGCGACGCCGCGUGAGGGAUGACGGCCUUCGGGUUGUAAACCUCUUUCAGUAGGGACGAAGCGCAAGUGACGGUACCUGCAGAAGAAGCACCGGCUAACUACGUGCCAGCAGCCGCGGUAAUACGUAGGGUGCGAGCGUUGUCCGGAAUUACUGGGCGUAAAGAGCUCGUAGGCGGUUUGUCACGUCGUCUGUGAAAUCCUAGGGCUUAACCCUGGACGUGCAGGCGAUACGGGCUGACUUGAGUACUACAGGGGAGACUGGAAUUUCUGGUGUAGCGGUGGAAUGCACAGAUAUCAGGAAGAAAACCGAUGGCGAAGGCAGGUCUCUGGGUAGUAACUGACGCUGAGGGGCGAAAGCAUGGGUAGCGAACAGG